UCUUUUCUUAUCUUUUUUCUUUUUUAAAAUUUACAUCCAAAUUAGUUAGCAUAUAGUGCAACAAUGAUUUCAGGAGUAGAUUCCUUAGUGCCCUUACCCACUUAGCCCAUCCCCCCUCCCACAACCCCUCCAGUAACCCUCAGUUUGCUCUUCAUAUUUAUGAGUCUCUUCUCUUUUGUCCCCCUCCCUGUUUUUAUAUUAUUUUUGUUUCCCUUCCCUUAUGUUCACCUGUUUUGUCUCUUAAAGUCCUUAUAUGAGUGAAGUCAUAUGAUUUUUGUCUUUCUCUGACUAAUUUCACUUACUAUAAUACCCUCCAGUUCCAUCCACAGAGUUGCAAAUGGCAAGAUUUCAUUCUUUUUGAUUGCCGAGUAAUACUCCAGAGUAUAUAUAUAUACCACAUUUUCUUUAUCCAUUCAUCCAUCGAUGGACAUUUGGGCUCUUUCCAUACUUUGGCUAUUGUGGAUAGUGGUGCCAUAGACAUGGGGGUGCAUGUGUCCCUUCGAAACAGCACACCUGUAUCCCGUGGAUGAAUGCCUAGUAGUGCAAUUGCUGGGUCGUAGGGUAGUUCUAUUUUUAGUUUUUUGAGGGGCCUCCAUACUGUUUUCCAGAGUGGCUGCACCAGCUUGCAUUCCCAGGUUUUAUUCUUGAGUAGUAUUCUUUGAUAUGAGUGCAUUUCAGUUUAUUUAACCAUUUACAUGUUGAAGGACAUCUGGGUCUUUUCUAGUUUCUGGUUAUUAUGAAUAAAGAUGCUAUAAACAUUUGUAUACAGGUUUUGGUAUAAACCUAAGACUUCAUUCAUCUGGGAUAAAUGCCCAGGAGUGAGAUUGGUGGGUCAUAUGAUCAGUGCACUUUUAGUUUAGCUUUUUAAAGAAUAUUUUAUUUAUUUAUUUUAAUGUUUAUUUAUUUUUGAGAGGUGGGGGAGGGGCAGAGAGAGAGGGAGACACAGAAUCCAAAGCAGGCUCCAGGCUCCGAGCUGUCAGCACGCUUGAGGCAGGGCUUGAACUCAAAGAACCACGAGAUCAUGACCUGAACUGAAGUCGGAUGCUUAACCCACUGAGCCACCCAGGCGCCCCAGUGCACUUUUGGUUUUGUAAGAAACUGCCAAACUGGUGUCUCGAGUGGCUAUAUCAUGUUAUAAUUCGACCAGCAAUGUAUGAGUGACCCAGCGUUUCUGCAUAUUCACCCACAUUUGGUGUUGCAAACAUUUUUUAUUUUAGCAUUUCUGAUAGGCGUAUAGUGGUAUCUCAUUGUGGCUUUAAUUUGCAUUUCCCUAAUGGCUAAUGAUAUUGAACAUCUUUUGAUGCACUUACUUGCCAUCUGUGAAUGUCAAAUUCAUUUCACUUCGGUGAAAUGUCUCAUUGUGUCUCUUGCCCGUUUCCUAAUUGGAUUGUAUGUUUUUACACUGUUGAGUUUUGAGAAGUCUUUAUAUACCCUCAAUAGCACUCCUUUGUUGGGUAUAUGGUUUGCAAAUAUUUUCUCCCACUCUCUAGCUUGUUUUUUUAUACUUUGACAUGGUCUUUCACGGAGCAAAAAUUUAAAUUUUGAUGAAGUUCUAUGUUUAAAUUUUUUUUUUUUUUUUUUUAGUUUUCUAGUAUUUGGAAAUUUUUCUGUUAUCUCACUGUAAUUGAUUUCUAGUUUUUGUGGUUGGAAUCUUCUGCUUCCCCUUCCCUGUGACAGGGUGAUGCUGUUUUUAAUUGAGAUAUAGUUGACACACAAUGUUACAUUCAUUUCAAGGUACAGCACAGUGAUUGGAUGACUCUAUACCUUUUGGUAUGCUCACCACAUUGACACAGUUACUUUUUAAUGAAAGAGUAGGGUUCGUCUCCUUUGGAGCCCUUGUGAAGAGAACUUCCCCACACCCCUCAUGAUAAUUGCAGAGCUCCAGGGAUUCAGCACAACUGGGGAUAAAGCAGCCCGCCCUUCUCUGGCCUGCUCCUGGGCUGUGACUUUGGUGUUAUCCAGCCAGCGUUCUGGCUUCUCUCUCAACACCACUGUGUUCUCCUGCCCCAAGCUGGUUGUGGGCACAGACGUGAACCCAGCACUUGCCUGGGGUCUGCCAUGACAGUGUAAAAGGAGGAUGACUUCAGCCCCAGGAAUACUUCCUGAUGACCACUGGCUUCUAUUUAUACAGCUCAAUGCUGGGCUUGCCCAGAGGAUGCCCACAUUACAUAUCUGUGAUGCCAUCAGCUUGUCGGUCAGCCGGAACCUGGAGUCAUCCUCUGCUGUUCUCAAGUGCCCUCUAAUUACAACAUGUCGGAGCUGAUAACCAAACCUCAAAAGCUUCUCAAAUCUUACAGAUAGAUGUAGUCACAACCGUGUCUAAUGUAGCAAAUACGGUAAAGCCCAAUACUUUUGAGCCCUUGCUAGUUUCCAAAAAUUGUCUACAGACCCUCUGUCUCUCCCUUUUCUCUGUUAUCUCUUGCUCAGACUCUACAAGGGCCUCCUAACCAGUCUUGCUCUUUGUAUCUUUGGGCAUCUCUUAUCUAUUCUCUAGAGCAGGGGUUGGCAAAUUUUUUCCAUAGGGGGCCAGAUAGCAAAUACCUUAGGCUUUGCAGGCCACGAGUCUCUGUUUCAACUCCUGAAUUAUCCUAUUACAGCAUAGUAACAGCCUUAGAUGAUACAUAAAUGAAUGUGAGUGGCUUUGUCUCAAUAAAACUUUAUUUAUGGCUGCUGAAA